UACGGAGGAUGCGAGCGUUGUUCGGAAUCACUGGGCGUAAAGCGUGCGUAGGCUGUUUCGUAAGUCGUGUGUGAAAGGCGCGGGCUCAACCCGCGGACGGCACAUGAUACUGCGAGACUAGAGUAAUGGAGGGGGAACCGGAAUUCUCGGUGUAGCAGUGAAAUGCGUAGAUAUCAGGAGGAACACCAGUGGCGAAGGCGGCUUACUGGACUGUAACUGACGUUGAGGCUCGAAAGCGUGGGGAGCAAACAGG
rnacentral:rRNA from 1 species